CAAAUACAGAGCAAAGGGACCUCGAUGUAUCUCUAGACAAUCUUAAUGCUACCAUCAUAUCUUCAAAUUUCUGGCCUCCUAUUCAGGAUGAGGCAGUCAACUUACCAGAGCCUGUGGAGAAGCUCCUAACUGAUUAUGCUAAGAGGUAUACUGAAAUCAAGACACCACGUAAGCUAAUGUGGAAGAAAAAUCUGGGCAGUGUAAAGGUCAGUCACUGUACAGUGUACUUGGGAAUUGUGUGUCUUCGGAAUAGUCUACAUAACCAGUUAAUUUAAAAUCUCUAGAUCCGAGCUCUCUGUUCUCUACAUCCUUUGAUAUACCCAAAUUACUGAAUGUGUUGUUACUGCCAUUUUGUUGUAGUUGGAGCCCCAAUUUGAAGAUAGAGCAAUGCAAUUCAAUGUAACUCCUUUACAUGCUUCAAUUAUUAUGCAGUUUCAA